UUCCCAGCUGUUGGUGGACUGCAACUCUCAUCAUCUCUGAACACUGGUCCUGCUAGCUAGUGAUGAUGGGAGUUGUAGUCCAACAACAGCUGGGGA